rnacentral:rRNA from 1 species
GCUACACAUGCAGUCGAGCGGUAGCACAGAGAGCUUGCUCUCGGGUGACGAGCGGCGGACGGGUGAGUAAUGUCUGGGAAACUGCCUGAUGGAGGGGGAUAACUACUGGAAACGGUAGCUAAUACCGCAUAAUGUCGCAAGACCAAAGUGGGGGACCUUCGGGCCUCAUGCCAUCAGAUGUGCCCAGAUGGGAUUAGCUAGUAGGUGGGGUAACGGCUCACCUAGGCGACGAUCCCUAGCUGGUCUGAGAGGAUGACCAGCCACACUGGAACUGAGACACGGUCCAGACUCCUACGGGAGGCAGCAGUGGGGAAUAUUGCACAAUGGGCGCAAGCCUGAUGCAGCCAUGCCGCGUGUGUGAAGAAGGCCUUCGGGUUGUAAAGCACUUUCAGCGGGGAGGAAGGCGGUGAGGUUAAUAACCUCGUCGAUUGACGUUACCCGCAGAAGAAGCACCGGCUAACUCCGUGCCAGCAGCCGCCGGUAAUAAA